rnacentral:rRNA from 1 species
UACGGAGGAUGCGAGCGUUAUCCGGAUUCAUUGGGUUUAAAGGGUGCGUAGGCGGUUUCUUAAGUCAGUGGUGAAAUCCUGCGGCUCAACCGUAGAACUGCCAUUGAUACUGAGAAACUUGAAUUUAGUUGAGGUAGGCGGAAUGAGUAGUGUAGCGGUGAAAUGCUUAGAUAUUACUCAGAACACCGAUUGCGAAGGCAGCUUACCAAGCUACGAUUGACGCUGAUGCACGAAAGCGUGGGGAUCGAACAGG